AAAUGACAUUUCACAAGGUGGAGAACAGCAGAAGGGCCACGGAGGCAGAGGAAACAGCGUAGAGAGAGGCACGGGGCAUCACACAGCCUGGGACGUCCAGGGAAUGCAGACUGGCGUGCUGGCAGGAAUCAGAUUGUGGGGGAGCUUCUAAGGACACAGUGACUGAGCCCCUGGAUCUUCGGUUGGAUUCUGUCCUGAUGGCAUCAGUGGUUUAGAGGUCGGCCUCUGGAGGCCAGCAGAUCUGGAUGCGAAUCUACUUAAUAAGCAUGUGACCUUGAGAAAUCACCCAAGCGCCCUGAAUCUCAGUUCCCCAGGCUACGACAGAGAAGAUGCUCCAAGGGCUCGCUGUGAACAUUAAAUCCCUGAGCCUCCAGACGGAGCAACUGGAUCUCCUUCUGAGCUGCACUUGCCUGCAGUGGGUCCAGGGAGGCCCCGGGCCCUGCAGAGAUCAGAGCCCACCAGGAAGCCAUGCACCUUCCUCCCACUCCAGCCGGGGGCGUGGGCGGGGCAAAGGGAGUGGGGAACUAGCUCACUGGUGCUGCUGGGCCUGGCCUGGCAUGCCUGCAGCGUCCCGAGCCUGGGGGACCUAUAACCCUGCAGGCCUGGUGUAGGGGGCUGGGAGAGGGGUAGGCCAGAGGCUGGCUCCCUGCCCCAGAGCCCUCCCCACUGGCUGCUCCUGCCGGCUGGGCACCACUUCUCCAGCUCAGUGAGCUUACCAAGGCUGGAAGAAAUUCAUCACCACCACCACCCACUCCCUGCUCCUCCGUCCUCACCCCUCCCCUCUCCCCCUCUUGACCACCAGUCUGAAGUUCAGCAUCAAGACCCUCUGAUGUUUUCCAUAGUGGCUGCACCAAACUGCAUACCCACCAGCAGUGUAGGAGGGUUCCCCUUUCUCCACAGCCUCUCCAGCAUUUGUCAUUUGUGGAUUUUUGAAUGACAGCCAUUCUGACUGGUGUGAGGUGAUACCUCAUUGUAGUUUUGAUUUGUAUUUCUCUGAUAAUUAGUGAUAUUGAGCAUUUUUUCAUGUGCCUUUUGAUCAUUUGUAUGUCUUCCUUGGAGAAUUGCUUGUUUAAGUCUUCUGCCCAUUUUUGGAUUGGGUUGUUUUUUUUUUUCUUAUUGAGUCAUAUGAGCUGCUUAUAUAUUCUGGAGAUCAAGCCUUUGUUGGUUUCAUUUGCAAAAAUUUUCUCCCAGAUGUAGGUUGUCUUCUUGUUUUACUUAUGGUGUCCUUUGCUGUGCAGAAGCUUGUAAAUUUCAUUGGGUCCCAUUUGUUUAUUCUUGCUUUUAUUUCUUCUAGGAGAAAAUUUUUGAAAUGUAUGUCAGAUAAUGUUUUGCCUAUGUUUUCCUCUAGGAGGUUUAUUGUAUCUUGUCUUAUGUUUAGUCUUUGAUCCAUUUUGAGUUUAUUUUUGUAUAUGGUGUAAGGGAGUGUUCUAGCUUCAUUGUUUUGCAUGCUGCUGUCCAGUUUUCCCAACACCAUUUGCUGAAGAGACUGUCUUUAUUCCAUUGUAUAUUCUUGCCUCCUUUGUCGAAGAUGAGUUGACCAAAAGUUUGUGGGUUCAUUUCUGGGCUCUCUAUUCUGUUCCAUUGGUCUAUAUGUCUGUUUUGGUACCAAUACCAUGCUGUCUUGAUGACUGUAGCUCUGUAGUAUUGUCUGAAGUCUGGGCGAGUUAUUCCUCCAGCCUCUUUCUUUCUCUUCAGUAGUGCUUUGGCAAUUCUAGGUCUUUUGUGGUUCCAUAUAAAUUUUAUUAUGAUUUGUUCUAGUUCUGUGAAAUAUGUCCUGGGUAAUUUGAUAGGGAUUGCAUUAAAUCUAUAGAUUACCGUAUGACCCAGGAAUCCCACUCCUGGGCUUGUAUCCAGAAGGAACCCUACUUCAGGAUGACACCUGCACCCCAAUGUUCAUAGCAGCACUAUUUACAACAGCCAAGACAUGGAAACAGCCUAAAUGUCCAUCAACAGGUGACUGGGUAAAGAAGAUGUGGUAUAUUUAUACAGUGGAAUACACUCAGCCAUAAAAACCGACAACAUAACACCAUUUGCAGCAACAUGGAUGCUCCUGGAGAAUGUCAUUCUAAGUGAAGUAAGCCAGAAAGAGAAAGAAAAAUACCAUAUGAGAUCGCUCAUAUGUGGAAUCUAAAAAACAAAAACAAAAACAAACAAACAAACAAAAACAAAGUGUAAAUACAGGAGAGAAUUAGACUCAUAGACAGAGAAUACAGACUUGUGGUUGCCAGGGGUGCGGACGGUGGGAAGGGAUAGACUGGGAUCUCAAAAUUGUAGAAAAGAUAAACAAGAUUAUACUGUAUAGCACAGGGAAAUAUACACAAAAUGUUAUGGUAGCUCACAGAGAAAAAAAUGUGAAAAUGAGUGUGUAUAUGUCCAUGUAUGACUGAAAAAUUGUGCUGAACACUGGAAUUUGACACAACGUUGUA